rnacentral:rRNA from 1 species
GGGAUGUGGUUAAAGCCUUCCGGCGGUACAAGAUGGCCAUGCGUCCCAUUAGCUUGUUGGUAAGGUAACGGCUUACCAAGGCUACGAUGGGUAGGGGCCCUGAGAGGGGGAUCCCCCACACUGGUACUGAGACACGGACCAGACUCCUACGGGAGGCAGCAGUGAGGAAUAUUGGACAAUGGAGGAGACUCUGAUCCAGCCAUGCCGCGUGCAGGAAGAAUGCCCUAUGGGUAGUAAACUGCUUUUAUACAGGAAGAAAANGAGCUACGUGUAGCUUACUGACGGUACUGUAAGAAUAAGGACCGGCUAACUCCGUGCCAGCAGCCGCGGUAAUACGGAGGGUCCGAGCGUUAUCCGGAAUUAUUGGGUUUAAAGGGUCCGUAGGCGGGCCGAUAAGUCAGGGGUGAAAGUUUGCAGCUCAACUGUAAAAUUGCCUUUGAUACUGUUGGUCUUGAGUUAUAGUGAAGUUGCCGGAAUAUGUAGUGUAGCGGUGAAAUGCAUAGAUAUUACAUAGAACACCGAUUGCGAAGGCAGGUGACUAACUAUAUACUGACGCUGAUGGACGAAAGCGUGGGGAGCGAACAGGAUUAGAUACCCUGGUAGUCCACGCCGUAAACGAUGGAUACUAGCUGUCCGGAACCUUGAGUUCUGGGCGGCCAAGCGAAAGUGAUAAGUAUCCCACCUGGGGAGUACGUUCGCAAGAAUGAAACUCAAAGGAAUUGACGGGGGCCCGCACAAGCGGUGGAGCAUGUGGUUUAAUUCGAUGAUACGCGAGGAACCUUACCAGGGCUUAAAUGCAUAUUGACAGGUCUAGAGAUAGAUUUUCCUUCGGGCAAUUUGCAAGGUGCUGCAUGGUUGUCGUCAGCUCGUGCCGUGAGGUGUCAGGUUAAGUCCUAUAACGAGCGCAACCCCUACCGUUAGUUGCCAGCAUGUCAUGAUGGGGACUCUAACGGGACUGCCGGUGCAAACCGUGAGGAAGGUGGGGAUGACGUCAAAUCAUCACGGCCCUUACGUCCUGGGCCACACACGUGCUACAAUGGCAGGUACAGAGAGC